UACGAACCGUGCGAACGUUAUUCGGAAUCAUUGGGCUUAAAGGGCGCGUAGGCGGCGGUGUAAGUUGGAAGUGAAAUCCCAUCGGCUCAACCGUGGAAUUGCUCCCAGUACUGCAUCGCUCGAGGGGGAUAGGGGUUUGCGGAACUACCGGUGGAGCGGUGAAAUGUGUUGAUAUCGGUGGGAACGCCAGUGGCGAAAGCGGCAAACUUGACCCUUCCUGACGCUGAUGCGCGAAAGCUAGGGGAGCAAACGGG
rnacentral:rRNA from 1 species